AUUGAACGCUGGCGGCAGGCCUAACACAUGCAAGUCGAGCGGAUGAAGGGAGCUUGCUCCUGGAUUCAGCGGCGGACGGGUGAGUAAUGCCUAGGAAUCUGCCUGGUAGUGGGGGAUAACGUCCGGAAACGGGCGCUAAUACCGCAUACGUCCUGAGGGAGAAAGUGGGGGAUCUUCGGACCUCACGCUAUCAGAUGAGCCUAGGUCGGAUUAGCUAGUUGGUGGGGUAAAGGCCUACCAAGGCGACGAUCCGUAACUGGUCUGAGAGGAUGAUCAGACACCCUGGAACGGAGGCACGGUCCACACACCUACGGUAGGCAGCAGUGGGGAAUAUUGGACAAUGGGCGAAAGCCUGAUCCAGCCAUGCCGCGUGUGUGAAGAAGGUCUUCGGAUUGUAAAGCACUUUAAGUCGGGAGGAAGGGCAGUAAGUUAAUACCUGGCUGUUUUGACGGUACCAACAGAAUAAGCACCGGCUAACUUCGUG
rnacentral:rRNA from 1 species